CAUCGCCUCUUGCUUCAAUAAGAGGUCCAGCCUGCCCAGUGACUCAGUUCAACGGCCGCGGUACCCUAACCGUGCGAAGGUAGCGUAAUCACUUGUCUUCUAAAUAAAGACUGGUAUGAAAGGCACCACGAGAAUUUAACUGUCUCCCUCUUCCAAUCAGUGAACCUAAUCUCCCCAUGAAAAAGUGGGGAUACACCAAUUAGACGAGAAGACCCUAUGAAGCUUUAAACACCAGCCAACUGCCCACAUACUAACGCUCCGGCGCUUUAACCAACCUGUUAUGGUCACGUGUUUUAGGUUGGGGUGACCGCGGGAAAUAACCCAACCCCCGCAAUGAUAACCUUUAAACUACAAGAUACAACUUUAAGUAUCAAUAAAUUGACAUCCAUUGACCCAAUACAUUGACUAAUGAACCAAGUUACUCUAGGGAUAACAGCGCAAUCCACUUCAAGAGCCCCUAUCGACAAGUGGGCUUACGACCUCGAUGUUGGAUUGGGGUAUCCUGGUGGUGCAGCAACUACUAACGGUUCGUUUGUUCAACGAUUAAAACCCU
rnacentral:rRNA from 1 species